GAAAAAUCAUCCACCUCCUUAAAAUAAAAAUAUAGAUAUUCUUAUAGAAUUAUCUAGAAAAUUAUGAUAAAAUAAUCUAGAUAUUAUGUUAGAAUUAUCUAGAUUUAGGAUUAAAAUAUUUGAGAUAUUUUGUAUAAUGGAGGCUAUAAAUACCUCCACUUCCCUUUCAUUUUGUAUCACCAAGAAAUAAACAAAACUUGUAACAAGUAAUAAAAAGCUUUCUUCUUCUAAGUUAUAAAAUCUUUCUUCUUCACAAAGCUUCUUUUCAAACACUUAAACACUUUUUCCAUCUUUAUAAAAAUUUUCAUUCCAACACAUUUUUCUCCGACAC
rnacentral:lncRNA from 1 species